rnacentral:lncRNA from 1 species
CUGAGCUUGGCUUAUGUCCAUCGUGUCAGAGAUCGCCUUCAGCAACGGUGGAGACCUAAUACUCAAACAAACCACACCAUCCCCUUCACCUUUCUUCCCUAAUUCCAAAUAUCACCAUAGAAUAGUCUGAAUCAUGCUCUAAAAUCCGAAUCAAAAUAAAGUACCAAAGAACCCUAAGAUUUAGAUUCACAAUUAAAUUCUCCUCUUAUGGAAUCAAAGCCCUAGAGGUUAGGACAUUGAUUCCCCUAAACCUCCUCUACAUCAGGGUAACAAGCAUGAAGCGAAAUGUUGAAGAAAGAUGAAGCAACUCACCGGAGCAGAUGUCGGAGUUCAGAUAAAGUGUUCUGAAACUUUCGGAUCUUCUCCUUGUUUCUGUUUCUUCUUCUUCUUCCAAGGAAAUUCUUCUGUGAGCGAAUCAAAGAGAGAGCUCGAAAGUGAAUUGAGAUUGAUGAGGGAGUCUAGCUCGCGUAUGUUGAAGCUUUAAUGUGAGGCUUCAAUGCCUGCUAAAUAAGAGCUUUGAGUGAGGGUAAUGGAGAAAGAUUGCAGAGAUUUUGAGAGCAAACUGAGAGUGUGUGUAAGCAUGUCUCCGAAGUCAUUGAAUGAGGGUGAAUAAUGGGUUAUAUAAAGAAGAGGUUCAUAUCAAAUGGAGGAUUGGAGUGAGGUUAGAAGUUAGUUAGGAGUGAAUCACUGAGUUAACUAUAAACCCAGUUAGUUAGAUGUCUUUAGUGAAAAAUUAGUUAGGUUAGUUAUGUUUAAUUCUGUUGGAGUUAAGUGAAAUUGGUGAAACUGGAUGAGAAGUGGUUAAUUGAAUUUCGAAUUAGUGUGCUCAGUUAAAUUCAGUUUUAAUUGGUGAAACUCAGUUCUGCAAUGUUGUUCAAUUAGAUGGAAAUAUUAAUUAUUGUUAGUGAAAACGCGAUUUUUUAGUUGAUUUGAAUGGUUAGUUGUAAGAUGAGUUCAGUUAGUGUGAGUGAAUUUUAUGAAUCAUGCUCUGGUAUAUCAGUUUAUAUGCAUUGCCCUGAUGUUAGAUGAUGAUGAAUUAUGUGUUGCUCGAUGUUUCGAUUGUUAUUUUCAUCUGCUGUGGGCUUUUGUAUUGUUGCUCGAUUUUGGUGUAUUGCCUUGCUGGAUCUGUUGUUGAAGCAUUGAUGCAGGAUUCUACAGAGUUUGUUGUUGCUUAGUAUGUUGUUGCAGAAUCGUGGCAGGUAAUGUUCAUGUGAAUGCUCAUGGAUGUUUUGCACGAUUAACUGUUUUGCACGAUUGACUAUUUUGUUGCAAUGUGCUGUGUUGUAAAUGGCAUGCUAUUUGUCUUGCUUUGGACUGAUAUUUGAACAUGAGUGCAUAAUGUUGUUGAUGUGAUGUUUUAAGGCAUUAUUUGGAUUGUUGUUUAGAUUAUUGUUAUAGUUUGACAUUGCUUGAUGAUGAUAUGAAUUCAUGAUUGUUGAUGUUGCAUAUGCUUAGUGAAUGACCGCUUGGUAAUCCAUGAUUGUUAUUGCUUAUGGUCAUGUUUUGCAACUUGGUUAGAAUGCCUUGUUAAUUGAAUGUUAUAUCAUUGGUAAAUAUUGUUAUGGUAUGCUAAUUUGGCUAAUGGUUGUAUGCUAAUGUUUGAAAAUGACUCAUUGGUUUUGUUCUUGUUAUGUGAUUAUGUAUGUGUUUUGAAAUGGUUUAGGUAAAUGUGUGAAUGUUAGGUCCAUGUCUUGGUCACUUUGUUUAGAAUUGAAAAUGAGCAUGGUUUGGAUCAUGAAAUGUCAUAUGUUGCUUUUAAACUUUGGUGUUUUGUAGGUGAAGGACAAUGCAAAGGUGAUCCUAACUUGAAGAAGAAAAUGGAGAUUAGGGUUUAGGAAUGGAAAAAUAUGAGUUGACUUUGGUCAACUGGUUGACUAAAAAGUCAACACUUGACCAAAAGUCAACUUAUGCACAAAUGUAAUUUAUUUGUAAUCUUUUUAAUGUAAUGUUUUAUGGACAAUAUAAUCAAUGAAUUUUAUGAAUGAAAUGCCUAUUUU